UACGUAGGUGACCAGCGUUGUCCGGAUUUACUGGGCGUAAAGAGCGCGCAGGCGGUCGUUCAAGUCGAGUGUGAAAGCCCCCGGCUCAACUGGGGAGGGUCAUUCGAUACUGAUCGACUCGAAGGCAGGAGAGGGAAGCGGAAUUCCCGGUGUAGUGGUGAAAUGCGUAGAUAUCGAGAGGAACACCUGCGGCGAAGGCGGGUUGCUGGGCUGACACUGACGCUGAUGCGCGAAAGCCAGGGGAGCGAACGGG
rnacentral:rRNA from 1 species